GUCUAUGGCUAUGCCACCCCGAACACACCCAAUUCCAUCUGUUCUCGGAAGCGAAGCAGGGUCGGGCCUGGUUAGUACUUCGAUAGGAGAUCACCUAGGAAGACCAGGUGCUGUAAGUG
rnacentral:rRNA from 1 species